ACUUUGCCCUUUUAUAUGACAUGAAUUUUUACGGCUAUACUUAGUGUAUCAGUGUUAGCACUAGGGCGGAUGUUAGUGUUAGGAUGAAGGUUAGGCUCGGGCUGCUACCAGGGAGUGUAACUCCCACUAAUCCUGACUAGAUGGGGACUUGUAUGUCACAGCAGUUCCUGAGAUCGGGGGUCUAUCAUGAAUGAUGUCACAUCCACGGUCCACAAUAUUCUAAAACACGUUCUAUUGUUUGCACUGCGCGUCACAUAAAGUGCAACAUAAAGUGUGUUAGGUCUAUUGGAUUCCAGAGUCUAAAAUUAUAAAAUCCGUAAUUG